rnacentral:rRNA from 1 species
CGGUUGAUCCUGCCGGACCCGACUGCUAUCAGAGUGGGACUAAGCCAUGCGAGUCAACGCAGCAAUGCGUGGCAUACGGCUCAGUAACACGUAGUCAACAUGCCCAGGGGACGUGGAUAACCUCGGGAAACUGAGGAUAAACCGCGAUAGGCCAAGGUUUCUGGAAUGGACACUGGCUGAAACCUAUAUGGCCCCUGGAUUGGACUGCGGCCGAUCAGGCUGUUGGUGAGGUAAUGGCCCACCAAACCUGUAACCGGUACGGGCUUUGAGAGAAGGAGCCCGGAGAUGGGCACUGAGACAAGGGCCCAGGCCCUAUGGGGCGCAGCAGGCGCGAAAAUUCUGCAAUAGGCGAAAGCUUGACAGAGUUACUCUGAGUGAUGCCCGCUAAGGGCAUCUUUUGGCACCUCUAAAAAUGGUGCAGAAUAAGGGGUGGGCAAGUCUGGUGUCAGCCGCCGCGGUAAUACCAGCACCCCGAGUGGUCGGGACGAUUAUUGGGCCUAAAGCAUCCGUAGCUUGUUCUGCAAGUCUUCCGUUAAAUCCACCUGCUCAACAGAUGGGCUGCGGGAGAUACUACAGGGCUAGGAGGCGGGAGAGGCAAGCGGUACUCAGUGGGUAGGGGUAAAAUCCUCUGAUCCACUGAAGACCACCAGUGGCGAAGGCGGCUUGCCAGAACGCGCUCGACGGUGAGGGAUGAAAGCUGGGGGAGCAAACCGGAUUAGAUACCCGGGUAGUCCCAGCUGUAAACGAUGCAGACUCGGUGAUGGGGUUGGCUUUGCGCCAACCCAGUGCCGCAGGGAAGCCGUUAAGUCUGCCGCCUGGGGAGUACGGUCGCAAGACUGAAACUUAAAGGAAUUGGCGGGGAGCACACAAGGGUGAAGCCUGCG